rnacentral:tRNA from 1 species
GCGGGAGUAGCUCAGUGGUAGAGCAUCUGCCUUCCAAGCAGAUGGCCGUGGGUUCGAAUCCCAUCUCCCGCU